ACACUCCUACGGGAGGCAGCAGUGGGGAAUUUUGGACAAUGGGGGCAACCCUGAUCCAGCAAUGCCGCGUGAGUGAAGAAGGCCUUCGGGUUGUAAAGCUCUUUUGUCAGGGAAGAAACGGUGGUGGCGAAUAACUACUACUAAUGACGGUACCUGAAGAAUAAGCACCGGCUAACUACGUGCCAGCAGCCGCGGUAAUACGUAGGGUGCAAGCGUUAAUCGGAAUUACUGGGCGUAAAGCGUGCGCAGGCGGUUGUGUAAGUCAGAUGUGAAAUCCCCGGGCUCAACCUGGGAAUUGCAUUUGAGACUGCACGGCUAGAGUGUGUCAGAGGGGGGUAGAAUUCCACGUGUAGCAGUGAAAUGCGUAGAUAUGUGGAGGAAUACCGAUGGCGAAGGCAGCCCCCUGGGAUAACACUGACGCUCAUGCACGAAAGCGUGGGGAGCAAACAGGAUUAGAUACCCGGGUAGUCCCA
rnacentral:rRNA from 1 species